rnacentral:sRNA from 1 species
GCCAGGCACAGUGGCGAUGGCCUGUAAUCCCAGUGGCUCUGGAGGCUGAGGCAGGAGGAUCACAAGUUCAAAGCCAGCCCCAGCAAUUUAGCAAGGCCCUAAGCAAUGUAGUGAGACCCAAUCUCUA